rnacentral:rRNA from 1 species
UACGUAGGGUGCGAGCGUUAAUCGGAAUUACUGGGCGUAAAGCGUGCGCAGGCGGUUUUGUAAGCCAGAUGUGAAAUCCCCGGGCUUAACCUGGGAAUGGCAUUUGGGACUGCAAGGCUCGAGUGCGGCAGAGGAGACUGGAAUUCCUGGUGUAGCAGUGAAAUGCGUAGAUAUCAGGAGGAACACCGAUGGCGAAGGCGGCUACCUGGACCGGUUCUGACGCUGAGGCGCGAAAGCGUGGGUAGCAAACAGG